rnacentral:rRNA from 1 species
ACACUCCUGCGGGAGGCAGCAGUGGGGAAUUUUGGACAAUGGGCGAAAGCCUGAUCCAGCAAUGCCGCGUGUGUGAAGAAGGCCUUCGGGUUGUAAAGCACUUUUGUCCGGAAAGAAAUCCUUGGCUCUAAUACAGUCGGGGGAUGACGGUACCGGAAGAAUAAGCACCGGCUAACUACGUGCCAGCAGCCGCGGUAAUACGUAGGGUGCGAGCGUUAAUCGGAAUUACUGGGCGUAAAGCGUGCGCAGGCGGUUUGCUAAGACCGAUGUGAAAUCCCCGGGCUCAACCUGGGAACUGCAUUGGUGACUGGCAGGCUAGAGUAUGGCAGAGGGGGGUAGAAUUCCACGUGUAGCAGUGAAAUGCGUAGAGAUGUGGAGGAAUACCGAUGGCGAAGGCAGCCCCCUGGGCCAAUACUGACGCUCAUGCACGAAAGCGUGGGGAGCAAACAGGAUUAGAAACCCCAGUAGUCCCAU